rnacentral:rRNA from 1 species
UACGGAGGGUGCAAGCGUUGUUCGGAAUUAUUGGGCGUAAAGCGCGCGCAGGCGGCCUGAAAAGUCUAUGGGUGAAAUGCCGGGGCUCAACCCCGUGUGUGCCCAGGAUACUGUCAGGCUGGAGACACGUAGAGGCAAGCGGAAUUCCAGGUGUAGCGGUGAAAUGCGUAGAUAUCUGGAGGAACACCGGUGGCGAAGGCGGCAUCCUGGACCGGUAUUGACGCUGAGGCGCGAAAGCUAGGGGAGCAAACGGG